UCUGGUAUGCGUGAGUCUUUGGAAAGGAAAAAACUCUCUAGCCAAUCCAAUCCCCGCCGCUCUUCUCGCCUUUAGAUUUUUCAGCCGCCGGUACUUAUCUUCUGUGCGCAGUUCCUUUGCUUCUCAUCCGUCGGCAUUCCUCUCCAUUAUUUCCUACCGCUGCCAUGGCCUCAAGCUGAAUGAGCUCGCCCCCAUGUCCGAUGGCAGUUGUCUCUGCCCCUCCUCCCUGUUUUUGUGCCAGCCAAGUUCGUCCAGCCCCUUGCCGCUCCAUCUCAUCAGCACCGUGCAGCUCGCUUCCAUGGCCGUUCCCUGCUCGUUCUUCCUGGCGCGCGUGCUCUUCCCCUGCGCUCGCCGACGCUCCUCCCUCGCCCAUGCCGCAGCGCUCCAGCUCGCAUCCAAUCCCUGCGCUCAUGCUUUUCCCCAAGCCAAGCACGUUUGGGUGUUGACGGCUCCAGUCUCCUAGUCGAGCUCUUGCUCAGCGCCUGACGCCGCUGCUCCCUGGUGCUCCCUGCUCACCAGCAGAAGCGCCCAGCCGGAGUUCCGCCGUCUGCGCCCCUGGUCCCGGUCCUCGGCGCGCCGCUCCUUCAGCUCGGCCGCCUCUCCUUGGCCGCGGUUUCCUCCCCAAGAUCCUCCCUGCUCGCCCUCCAGCUUCCGUGCGCGCGCAUCUCUGGCCUCCGCUCGAAUCCCGCCCGUCCGCGCUCUGUCCAGUUCCAGCUCGCCACAUGGUGUUGUGCCCCUCAAGCUUGCGAAGCUCCCUUGUGUGCGCGCCCAGCCAAGGUUCCUCUCUGCGUGCGCGCGAACUCCGUUGCGAGCGCCGAUCUGUACCCACAAAGUCUCGCCGGUGCUCGACUGGCUCGGCCUGACCGUCGCCUUGCUGUUUCAUGCCCUAGACCGUUAAAUCGCUGUUAAUCUUGUCGUGCAUGGUGCCGUCUCGAACCUGCCAUGUCCGUUGCCGGUCGACGACCCCGCCCUGCUGCUUAUCCCGUCGCCAAGCUGUGUGCCGCUGUUCCGUGACCUCGACGGUGCGCAAGGUCGCUUGCUCCAGAACCACAUCGUCGUCGUGGCUUUUGGAGUUCAUCGUGACGCGCUGCUGAUGAUCUGUGUAUUACGGGAGAUCUUCGCAAGUUCACGCAGCUUCGUGGUAAUUAAUUUGGAUGGCGAUCUGUAUUAUUUAGUGCUAUGUUUGUUUCCUUUGUAUGUUUGCGUGUAGGUUCCUUCCUUACGGGGAAUCAUAGUUUGUGCUAAGCACGUUUGAUUCAAUCUAGUUCAGUUGCACGUAGGUGUUCAAUGAAUCGUCUGAACCGGGACUUGUUGUCGUUUCCACGACUUCCGAGUCCAAUUAGCAUUAGUGAGUCGGUUUGUUAAUUCGCUAACUAGUUUGAUGUGUGAAUGUGUUCGAUGGAUUUAUUGGUUUAGUAUAUUAAUUGCGAUAAUUUUCAUGUGAGGGUGUAGAUGUGUCGUGAUUGUAUUAGAUGUUUGCUAAUGUCUAAUAUAUGAGAUAUAUGUUCAGAUUGGUGACAUGGGGGAUAGGUCUAUAUUUUUAUCGGCUAGACAACUGUUUUUCAGUAUUAUGACGCUUUUAUUUAUUAAGACGUAGGUCAUGCGAGAAGAAUUAAAUCGGUGUUUCGUAUCUGAUGAGUGGUCGAUGGCGUGUGGUGAAAGAGGUCUAAAAUGCAGGAUUUACGAAGAAUGUCUUAGAGAACGUAUAAUUUAAGUGCGCAUAAAUUAGUUCGUCAUUUGCGACGAAUGGUCUAGUUAGUAAUGUAAAGGGUAGUGUAAAUGUUUCUAUCGUCUAGCCGGUAAACGUUAGCGAUACUUAUAUAUAUCAUGAUUUCUGUAUGAUUUAUUUGCUUUAAUAUCGUGUUUAGCUGAUAUAAGGUGUAUAAUAGUUUAGACUAAUAAUUCUACGUCAUUUAAAAUGCUACUGUCGGUUAUUUUAAGUUAUAAGUAUAUAGGGUUUACUUGUGAAAUUUGUAAUGACCUGCGAUUAAAUAUUUAAUCCUCUUCGGUGUAACCAUAUUUAGUCUUGUACUAUUCUUGUUUAUAUGCAUUCAUGUGCAUUAUGUAAAUCAUUUAGGUACGUUAAUUAAUCACGUUAUGCGGAGGACUAGAACUGAGUCGACCACAAGAUGCUGGAAAGCGUGAGCUUCUCCGCAAGAUAAUGUUGAUGGACGAACCUAAAGAUGGAUAGACGAAGCAAGUAUUGGAACAAAGGCUGGUCGCCAUGUGGACGUCAUCGAACAAACACUAAUGUAGUGUUUAUUCCAGGCAAGCCCCGGUGCAUUCGCCCCUUCCUUGUGUUUUAAAUGUUUUUUCACCUUAUCUGAUGCAUUAGGUGAUAGGAGUUGUGUGAUAAACAAUUGAUGCAUUACCAUUCCUUGGAAACUCCUUAAUCCUGGUUUUAUAAAAAGAACUGAUAAUGCUUAGCCCUGCUUAAAAACUGAAAAAACAUUUGUUUUCAAAAAGAAUGAUUGUGGAACAUUGGUUAUGGGCAUUUCGUUUCAAAAAUCAAAGCAAACUUAUGGUGACGAUUCCACUUCGGCCGGAGUGGGUUCAUCAUUCGGAAAAGAGUACCCCUGCCGGGUACCAAAAAUGGGAAAAUGGUUUGAAUACAUCUAGACCAGACGUUGAGCGGACAAGGUCGCCCGUCUGUGUCGAUUAAGGACCGUUUGAUGUAGGCCUGUUGUGGUGGAGACCUUGCAACUAGCCACAUGCUCCGGUAAGCCUGAACCUAGCUAUUCCAUACGUGAAAAGACAACCGCGCACUGGGCGUGGGAGAUGGUGGGAGUAGCGUGUACCCUCCUGGCUAGAGGCUGGAUGGAGGAGUACUGUGCUCCCGGGUAGCGGGGACCGGUUCACGUUGUGGAGGAUCUGUGGGAACGGUUGACAUAUGCAAGGGUUAAGUGCUACAUAUGUCGUGUGGUUAGGGAUCCCCAGCUAGGUAUAAUCGGUUCGAAUCGUCAUUGCUCCUCGGUCAUGGAGACUCUACCCUCCGACCACUCAUCGUAGUUCACAAAUGAAACAUGAUUGUAGUUGGUUAAAAGAAAGCUAGAUUAGGACAAGUGAAUGCUCUAGAUUAGGCAAAUCUAGAUUCAGGAAAAGUACUUAACUUGUGAAGUAAAAUUUUGGCAUAAGGAUUCACUACUAGUAACCUCUUCUGCAAAAUGAGUCCUUGAUUAUUGCUUAGCCUUACCUUGACUCCUAAUCAGCCAGCAUAUCCUUGAGAGUCUUUUCUUUAGUCGGGUAAGUCUUGCUGAGUAAUUCCAUACUCAGGGUUUUAUUCCCUGUUGUUUUUCAGGUUCUAACCUUGUGCUGCUGUGAUGGUGUUAAGUGCCGGUGGGCUCGGCCUUCUUAUAAGUCUAAGUAACCCUUCUAUACUUCUUAUUGAGGAUGGUCACUUGAGCUAGCAUAUAUUUCAAACUUAUACUUUUGUAAUCACUCCGAUAAAAUAAUAUAAAAUUUUUGUAACUUGUAAAAUUUGGUAGUAAGAUUUCCGCUGCAAAAAUAUUGGUGUGUGUGAUUUGUAUUACUUAAUCUCGCGAUCUUGGUUGUAAGUGGUUUAUCCGAUGUCCUUGGGCAAUCAGACGGAUCUGUUAAGUUAUUUGGUGCACAUGCAUAGUUGUCUGAGGUC
rnacentral:lncRNA from 1 species